rfam:Candidatus Doudnabacteria bacterium RIFCSPHIGHO2_01_52_17 rifcsphigho2_01_sub10_scaffold_8875, whole genome shotgun sequence.
CGGGGUGUCGUAUACUGGUAGUACGCGUGCUUUGGGAGCACGUAGACUGGGUUCAAUUCCCAGCACCCCGA